UACGAAGGGAGCUAGCGUUGUUCGGAAUCACUGGGCGUAAAGCGCACGUAGGCGGACGUGUUCAGUCAGGGGUGAAAUCCCGAGGCUCAACCUCGGAACUGCCUUUGAUACUGGGGAUCUCGAGUCCGGGAGAGGUGAGUGGAACUGCGAGUGUAGAGGUGAAAUUCGUAGAUAUUCGCAAGAACACCAGUGGCGAAGGCGGCUCACUGGCCCGGAACUGACGCUGAGACGCGAAAGCGUGGGUAGCAAACAGG
rnacentral:rRNA from 1 species